CUUCAACUCCAAUACAAAUCCAAUAAGUGUUAGUAUUGUACAGCCAAUACAUUGCACAUAGCUGGAAUCAUUGUGGCUUCAAUGGAGCAUAUUAAAGAACACAAAUUAAAUUGUUCACAACGUCGCCCGUCUUCCACUGUUUCACUUCAUCUGAGUAGCCAAUUUUGAAUUGAGGGACAUCCUGACAUUAAAAAGGAUCAUAAAUGAGAAGAACAUAUAGAUGGAAAGAUUGUCAGGUUAACACACAAUAAAGUGAGGUUAACACACAAUAAAGUGAGGUUAACACAAGUAUUAUUUCCAAAUCAUACAAUGCCAACCUAAAAUAAAAUUCCAGCAUGAAACUAUACUUUUCUAGGUGCACAUCAAGUACUAUUUUGAGUUGACCAAAACAAGUAUUGACCAAGUUGAGAGUCCAAUUCCCAUAUGCGAUUCACGUAGUAAGGAAAAGUAACUUUUCAGGAACCUAAGGGAAAAAACUUUCCAUUCAUAGCACGCACAGGCUGAGCCCAAGUCAGAUACAUAUAAAAAGUGCAACAAAGGAAUGCAUGCCUAAUAAAUUACCUUACGGGAAGAAAAAACCUUUUGAAAAAAAAAUGGAAGAAAAACUAAACACGCACACUUAAAUCUGUCAACUGGCCAGCCUCCUAGCAUGUAUACGUGCAUAACCUCGUGCAUUCACAUUCCAUCUAAAGGAUGAAUAACAAUAAUAAAAGGAUAGUGGAAUAUUAGACAUACUAGUCGUCAACCCGUGCGUCCCCACGGGCUAGUCCAUUAAACAUAGGCAUAUGUAAUUUUACCUUGCAAUAUUUGAUAGAAAUUAAAAAUGAAAAAAAUUAUUAGAAUGUUUUUCUAAUUGCUUGCAACUAAUAACACAGAUCAAUGCAUAUUGGCUAUUGUGUGAUGAAAAGUAAUUAUUUCAAUUAAUUGCAGAUCUGACAAUUUUCAUAUAUGUACAAACUAUAUUACACUAAUAUUUAAUUAUAUAAUCAUAUAUUUUGGUUCUGGUUGGUAGAUAUAUAACACAUAUAAUGAUGGAACACAUAGUACACUACAACAUGUCAAUAUCAUUCAUAUAUAAGUUAUUUAUGUACAGUAUAGAACAAUACACCAUUUUGUAGAACAUGAUUAAUGUGAAGGCCCAAUCCUCGACAUGCAUGGUCAAAUGGAUGUCAUGGCCAAUAUAAUCCAUAGGGAUAAAAGGAAAAUAUUUGUCCACAUAUUUUUGCUGAUAUAGCAGCCAUGCAAAAUUAUUAUACAUCAUUCAACUCAUCAAUUUGGAACUUGCUAGUGCAUGCAGAUUUAUAUGUGUACUUCUAUUUUUCUCAUAUCGGUUCUUUGGAAGAUAACACAGAGAAUUUCCAGUGGGCAGAGCUAGCAGUUGGCCAACGACAUAAUAUUGAUCUGAAAUAUAAUUGGGAUUUUCGUUUUCCACUUCUAAGAAAUAGAAUAUUCUAAUGAAUAAUGAAACUAUUUAUAAUAAAUAGUUGUUCAACACAUCUUUGGUACUCCCUCUAUAAAUUAAUAUAAGUGCGUUUAGAUUACUAAAGUACUGUUUUAAAUACUCCUAUAUUAGUUCCUGUAGUUUCUUAGGUAGAAACUUCAUGCCAACAAUGAAUAUAUGCACGGUCAGUGGAAAACUUCCAGUAGUUUUAUGCUUUCAAGCCAUCUAUGCUUAGACAUGCUUGAAAAGAAACCUGUUGUUACCUGCACUAUGGAGGUUUCAAUAAGUAUACCUUCAGUUGAGAGUUAUCCAUGUCAUGAAGUGCUUCUUCGCCAGCUUGGGAAUCCACCAGGUCGCAUUUUGAAGUUCUGCAUUGCACACAAAGUUGUCAGUAGCAGCAGCAUAAUUCCAUCGUAAUACGACGCUUGGUUAUAGUAGAUGUUAAAAUGACAAUCGAAUAGCAUUGAGCAGGCCAUAAAGCUACAUUGACAGUGCAACCGAAUCUACAAUGGUAAAAGACGCAGAAAUGAACAGAGCUGUCGUCUCCAUUCGGGCCUCUCCCACCUUUUCCUUCCCGAGUCAUCAUCUUUCUCG
rnacentral:lncRNA from 1 species